UUUUCGGUUCUCUUCCUCCGGUAUUAACAAACACAAAACUGCAGCCGCUUUCUAUUAUCUUUUCUACAUCUUUUUUCUCUCCCAAUUGAACAAUAAUAAGAGAGCUAAUCAUCUCUUCAUCUUCCUAACCUAUCACCGCCGCCACCACCAUCUGUUUCCCUAUCACUCCUGCAACCACCAUCACAACCACUCUCACUUUCUCUGUAAGAUAACCUUUUACAUAAAUCAAACCCCUAGAAACCACCUUUUCACUUAAUCUAAAUAAUGAAGCCCUUUGCAUAAAUCAAAACCCUGGAACAUUGAUUUCAAAUUGAUUUUGUAAAAACCCUAAAUUUAAUUUCAUCUCGAUUUUGAAUUUGCAGUUCAAGUGCAAAACCUUGAAGAUUCUGCUGUGUGAAGAUUCCAAGACUUCGGUCUGGUUGUCUGAUGCCUGAUGGCCAAAUGCUUAGUGGCAAGACUGUUGGCGAAGGAGAUGAUGCAUUCAACACCUUUUUCAGUGAAACUGGUGCUGGAAGGCAUGUCCCCCGUGAAACUUUUGUAGACCUCGAACCCACUUCAUUGAUUAAGUGAGAACUGGAACAUAACCCAACUCUCUCAUCUCACUUAGAAGUUCUCAGUCAUCGCUAGCUGCAUACCACCUUCAUCACCAGCUCGAGAAUCAUCACCACCUUUGCAUAUCUGCACCUACACCUUCAACAGUUUGCGUCAUACCAUUCAUAGCUUCACAAGUUUAGUUGCAUCAUCAUCAUUUGCAGCCACCAACACACCACCAAGCUAGUUGCAGUUCUACUUCCCUAUGAUAACCAAUAUCAAGUAUUAAGUUUAUAUUUUUAUCUUGUAUGGUUGCGCAUUUUUUUAUGAUAUUUCAGGGUCAGCACUUAUGGAUCUUACCACUUUAAAUCCUUCGUCAGAGAAUCGAGCAGUCUCAUGAAAUAAUGAUAAAGCUUUAACUCGACACCUUUUUCUUUUAAAAAUUUAUCACAUGUGAGCUAAAUUGGCAAGCUGGGAUUGGCAUUGGGAUUUUCUUGGUUUAAAGUGUUGGUGCUUGUGCCAACGCGAGAAUCAUGUAUUCAGGUAAAGGAAAUCCCUCAAAAAUUACUGCACUGAUUCCAUUGGAUGGUUCCAGUUCUUUUAAUGGGACGUGAAGAACAUAUCAUCGAGGCUUCACAAAGGUGUACUAAUGGUUCUAUGCAAGGGUCCAACCAUAUUCGGAGACGACGGCAGUACAUCUUUGCUCAAAGGCAUUUGAAGAGUUAGAAAAUUGAGUUCCCCAAGGCAGGUUAUUACAUAGUAUACCAGCAAAACAACAAAACACUUCUAUGAAACAAGAGUAUUGUUCUGAUGACAGAUGCAAAGAUCCCUUCAGGUGCUAUAGAGGAACGUGCAAGGUACCUACAAAAAUUGUGGAAGAACAAGAGAGUAUUGGGAAAGAAUUCAUGCCAGCUACAGCUUACAAAAGGUCCUUGUCAACUGACAUUCAAACACAUGCAAAGGAUCCUCAUAAGCACUCCGAGCAACAGUUUGAUGCUCUUGCGGUACCUCCACAUUCCGAGUUUGUGACAGAGUUAUCCUCAUCAUCCCUUCCGUCCAAUUUGCAACUAUUAGUGUGUUCAAUAGUGAGACAAGAGAAUUUCCAAAGGAAAGCAAGGACACUGAAUCUGUUAACUUUCUUACUUCCUUGAUUUGAGAUUUUACUGAAUGAUGUGCAUGUUUUAAAUGUGCAGGUAUUGUUUUGUAUAUUGUGUUUCUUUUGUUUUAGAUGUGCAUACAUAAAAGAUGGAACAACUAUAAUCAAUAAAUGAGAAUAUGUAUGGAGUUUUAGGUAGAGGUCAUAAUGAUGAGAAUGUGAUGUAUUAUGCAACUUGAGUGGGAAUCUGAAGAAAACCAAAUCUACAGGUGCAGGAAAUUUGGAUUUUGGAA